UGGUCUUUAACUCCUGACCUCGUGAUCUGCCCGCCUUGGCCUCCCAAAGUGCUGGGAUUACAGGCGUGAGCCACUACACCUGGCCUACCAAACAUUUUUUAAAGAACUAAUACCAAUCCUACUGAAACUAUUCCAAAAAAUAGAGGAGGAGGGAAUGCUUCCAAUCAUUUUAUGAGGCCGGUAUUAUCCUGAUACCCAAAUCAGACAAAGACACAUCAAAAAAAGCAGAUUAGAGGCCAGGAGUGAUGGCUCAUGCCUGUAACCCUAGCACUGUGGGAGGCUGAGGCAGGCAAUUGCUUGACCUCAGGAGUCUGAGGCCAGCCAGCCUGGGCAACAUGGUGAAACCCCUCUACAAAAAAAUUUAAAAAUUGGCCGGAUGUAGUGGUGUGUGUCUGUAGUCUCAGAUGCUCAGGAGGCCGAGGUGGGAGGAUCAGUUGAGCCAGGAGGUGGAGGCUACAAUGAGCCAUGAUCAUGCCACAGAACUCCAGCCUGGGUGACAGGAGACCCAGAAAAAAAAAGAGAGAGAAAGGAAGGAAAGAAAGAAAGCCACAGACUGGCAGAAAAUAUUUUCAAAACCUGUAUCUGAUAAAAGACCUGUAUCCAGGCUGGGUGCAGUGGCUCACUCCUGUAAUCCCAGCACUUUGGGAAGCCAAGGCGGGUGGGUCACCUGAGGUCAGGAGUUGGAGACCAACCUGGCCAACAUGGCAAAACCCUGUCUGUACUAAAAAUACAAAAAUUAGCUGGGCCUGAUGGUGCACGCCUGUAAUCCCAGCUACUGGAGAGGCUGAGGCAGGAGAAUCACUUGAACCCGUUGGGCAGAGGUUGCAGUGAGCCGAGAUCUCGCCACUGCACUCUAGCCCGGGCGACAGAGCGAGACUCCGUCUCAAAAAAAAAAAAAAAAAGGAAAGAAAACAUAUGUCCAUUCGGAGACUGGUACUGAAAUGUUCAUCGAGGCUUUAUGUGUCAUAGCCAAAAAUGGAAACAAUCCACACAUACACCAACAGGCAGAUGGAUAAAUAAUGGUACGUCCCCCUCGAAAGACAGCAUACUGUGUGAUUUUAUUUGUAUAAACUCUAGAAAAUGCAAACCAAUCAAAACUGACAGGAAUCAUGUUGGUGGUUGCCUGGGGUGGGGUGGUGAGCAAGUGGGAUUACAGACGCACACAGGAAACGCAGGGAGUGAUGGGAGGUAUAUGCUGUCUUGAUGAUGGGAUUACAGACACACACAGGAAACGCGGGGAGUGAUGGGAGGAUCCACAGGGAAAGGGACUGCCAGGGACACCGUGAGGGGUGCACUAUGCAAAGGCAGUGUCGCGUCCACACGGGGUGCACCUGCAGACACAGAGAAAAA
rnacentral:lncRNA from 1 species